CUCCAGACUCCUACGGGAGGCAGCAGUGGGGAAUAUUGCACAAUGGGGGAAACCCUGAUGCAGCGACGCCGCGUGAGCGAUGAAGUAUUUCGGUAUGUAAAGCUCUAUCAGCAGGGAAGAAGAUGACGGUACCUGACUAAGAAGCCCCGGCUAACUACGUGCCAGCAGCCGCGGUAAUACGUAGGGGGCAAGCGUUAUCCGGAUUUACUGGGUGUAAAGGGAGCGUAGACGGCGAUGCAAGCCAGAUGUGAAAGCCCGGGGCUCAACCCCGGGACUGCAUUUGGAACUGUGUGGCUGGAGUGUCGGAGAGGCAGGCGGAAUUCCUAGUGUAGCGGUGAAAUGCGUAGAUAUUAGGAGGAACACCAGUGGCGAAGGCGGCCUGCUGGACGAUGACUGACGUUGAGGCUCGAAAGCGUGGGGAGCAAACAGGAUUAGAUACCCCUGUAUC
rnacentral:rRNA from 1 species